UUGAUUAGUCGAUGCCAACGCACGGUUUGCUAUUUUUCAUUUUUCAUUUUAUAUGAAUAUGUGAAUAUAUUUGAAUAACUGUUGAAGUACCGUAGUCGUGCCAAAUCUUAAUAAAAGGACAUUUUAAGUCCCCAGAAGAAAUCAUCGUGUAUAAUGCCGAGUACCCUGUACAAUCAUCGAAACAAUAUUACAUUUCCACAACACUCUCGCAUGACGUAGGCACAUUGAACGCGGUAGUAAUACAUUGAAAACUCCAGAAAUUUAUGUUUGAAAAAAAGUUAUCGACCCGAACAAACACGCAUCGAUACAUCCCGUAUAAUGUGUAUCAUACAUAUACACAUACAUACUCUUUUGUUUCGUCGAAAACAUUCUAUGGUUUGUAAUGUGAACGUUUAUAUAAUAAUAUAAUGUAGAAUGUCGCAAGGUACACCGUACACCAGCGCACCACCCGCGAAGAGCGAUAUACACAGAGAUUACGGUGUGAAAUGGAACAAGAUGAUGCGCAGGACUUGGCAGAGAACACCAUAGACCAGACUUCUCAAACUUUUCACUACUGUACGAUGAAAUAUUUACAUUUUAUCAAUCUAUUACCAUCAUUUACACGGAAAUUGGAAAUUUCCGUUUAUUUCUCAUGAACUCACGAAUAAACAAUUUUGAAAUAGUUAUAUUCCAAAAUUAUAAUUACAGAUAUUACCUAUCACGUAUUCGACUUCAUUCGACUAUUUGAUAAUAAGUAAUAACGUUGUAAUAAGUGUAGUUUUAUUUUAUUUAAAAAAAAAAUACUGUGUACCGAUAUGAUUUAUUUUCAUAUAAAAUAUCAUAUAUUUAAAAAGCGCACAAGACUUGACAAAAGUUCAAACGUAACGCACAGCCAAAGAACCUAUGGCCUUUAAAUCGUAAAUACAUUAUGACAAAUAAAAUAUAAAUUUCAUUUUUUUUUUUUUUUUUUAUAGAAGUAUAUUAUAUGGAUAAUGGAAAUGAAAAAAAAAUUCUGAACAAUUCGUUUUUUGACCAGUUCAUUGGCAGCAGAUAUAGUGUUAAUUUAGUGAUGUCGUAGUGUUGACGUAUUAUAUUUCAGAAGGUACAAUCUGCAUAACAUUUAUAAACGUACGGCUCAACGACAUAAUACCCGAGUGUCUACA